rnacentral:rRNA from 1 species
UUACUGGGCGUAAAGCGCGCGUAGGCGGCAAUUCAAGUCAAACUUUAAAGACUCCUGGCUUAACCGGAGUUCGGGUUUGAUACUGUUUUGCUAGAGAUUGGGAGAGGAAAGUGGAACAAACAGUGUAGCGGUGAAAUGCGUAGAUAUUGUUUGGAACACCCAUGGCGAAGGCAACUUUCUGGACCAAAUCUGACGCUGAGGCGCGAAAGCGUGGGUAGCAAACAGGAUUAGAUACCCUGGUAGUCCACGCUGUAAACGAUGUACAUUAGGUAUCGGGGGUAUCGACCCCCCCGGUGCCGAAGCUAACGCGUUAAAUGUACCGCCUGGGGAGUACGGUCGCAAGAUUAAAACUCAAAGGAAUUGACGGGGGCCCGCACAAGCAGUGGAUCAUGUGGUUUAAUUCGACGAUACCCGAAAAACCUUACCCAAACUUGACAUCUAGAGAAGUUCUAUGAAGAUAGGCGUGCUCGCAAGAAGCUUAAGACAGGUGGUGCAUGGUUGUCGUCAGCUCGUGUCGUGAGAUGUUAGGUUAAGUCCUGCAACGAGCGCAACCCUCGUACUGUGUUGCUACAUUAAGUUGAGCACUCUCAGUAGACUGCCCGUGGUAAACGGGAGGAAGGUGGGGAUGACGUCAAAUCAUCAUGCCCUUUAUGUUUGGGGCUACACACAUGAUACAAUGGUCGGUACAAAGGGAUGCGAAACCGCGAGGCGUAGCAAAUCUCAGAAAACCGAUCUCAGUUCAGAUUGAAGGCUGCAACUCGCCUUCAUGAAGAUGGAAUUGCUAGUAAACGCAGAUCAGCAUGCUGCGUUGAAUACGUUCCCGGGCCUUGUACACACCGCCCGU